rnacentral:rRNA from 1 species
GAUGAACGCUGGCGGCGUGCCUAAUACAUGCAAGUCGAGCGAACGGACGAGAAGCUUGCUUCUCUGAUGUUAGCGGCGGACGGGUGAGUAACACGUGGAUAACCUACCUAUAAGACUGGGAUAACUUCGGGAAACCGGAGCUAAUACCGGAUAAUAUUUUGAACCGCAUGGUUCAAAAGUGAAAGACGGUCUUGCUGUCACUUAUAGAUGGAUCCGCGCUGCAUUAGCUAGUUGGUAAGGUAACGGCUUACCAAGGCAACGAUGCAUAGCCGACCUGAGAGGGUGAUCGGCCACACUGGAACUGAGACACGGUCCAGACUCCUACGGGAGGCAGCAGUAGGGAAUCUUCCGCAAUGGGCGAAAGCCUGACGGAGCAACGCCGCGUGAGUGAUGAAGGUCUUCGGAUCGUAAAACUCUGUUAUUAGGGAAGAACAUAUGUGUAAGUAACUGUGCACAUCUUGACGGUACCUAAUCAGAAAGCCACGGCUAACUACGUGCCAGCAGCCGCGGUAAUACGUAGGUGGCAAGCGUUAUCCGGAAUUAUUGGGCGUAAAGCGCGCGUAGGCGGUUUUUUAGUCUGAUGUGAAAGCCCACGGCUCAACCCGUGGAGGGUCAUUGGAAACUGGAAAACUUGAGUGCAGAAGAGGAAAGUGGAAUUCCAUGUGUAGCGGUGAAAUGCGCAGAGAUAUGGAGGAACACCAGUGGCGAAGGCGACUUUCUGGUCUGUAACUGACGCUGAUGUGCGAAAGCGUGGGGAUCAAACAGGAUUAGAUACCCUGGUAGUCCACGCCGUAAACGAUGAGUGCUAAGUGUUAGGGGGUUUCCGCCCCUUAGUGCUGCAGCUAACGCAUUAAGCACUCCGCCUGGGGAGUACGACCGCAAGGUUGAAACUCAAAGGAAUUGACGGGGACCCGCACAAGCGGUGGAGCAUGUGGUUUAAUUCGAAGCAACGCGAAGAACCUUACCAAAUCUUGACAUCCUUUGACAACUCUAGAGAUAGAGCCUUCCCCUUCGGGGGACAAAGUGACAGGUGGUGCAUGGUUGUCGUCAGCUCGUGUCGUGAGAUGUUGGGUUAAGUCCCGCAACGAGCGCAACCCUUAAGCUUAGUUGCCAUCAUUAAGUUGGGCACUCUAAGUUGACUGCCGGUGACAAACCGGAGGAAGGUGGGGAUGACGUCAAAUCAUCAUGCCCCUUAUGAUUUGGGCUACACACGUGCUACAAUGGACAAUACAAAGGGCAGCGAAACCGCGAGGUCAAGCAAAUCCCAUAAAGUUGUUCUCAGUUCGGAUUGUAGUCUGCAACUCGACUACAUGAAGCUGGAAUCGCUAGUAAUCGUAGAUCAGCAUGCUACGGUGAAUACGUUCCCGGGUCU